rnacentral:lncRNA from 1 species
GAAAUUUGACACAAGUAUGUGGGUUAUUAAAAUGAAACGAAGCAUAGAAAAUAAAUUCAUUAACUACUAAUAAGAACUAAGAUAAGAAAAUAUAAAAUGUCAUUAAGAUGAGUCCAAUUACAAUUCACACAUUCACAAAUAUGUGAAGCUCAGCCCUGUGUAAGUAUUUUUGAAAUUGUGGCAAAAUAAAAAGACAAAUAAUGUUAAUGGAAAUUGUAUUGCAGUCUUCCAUUUUAGUAUCCAACAAUUGCUGGGGGAGGAGGCGACCUAUAUUCAGCUCCAAAUAUUGGUGGCAA